rnacentral:lncRNA from 1 species
GAAGGAAGGAGCAGCACCCCGAUCAAGAGUUGGCCCCUUUUUAGUUCUUUUCUUUUCGGUUUUUCCUUUACAUAUCUCUCCUUUUUUAUUUUUCCUAAUAUUUCGUGACAAUUAAAAAAUUAAAUUCCCUUACAUUGUUCUAUUGGUACAUAUGCCAUGUGAAAGGUCAUAUUCAUAUACCAAUAUGUGCAAGACAAUCAUCACAAGUCACUAGUGUUCUAUGUAUAAUUGCAUGCGAUGUAUUGAGUUGAAUAUUUGAAGUGGCUAUAUGUGUCAGUGUUCCCAAUUUUAAUUAUCGGUUCCUUACCAUUAUCGACUUCUUCCCGAAUGAAUAAUUUCGUAUCCAACAUCCCACAUAACCAAGUUUUAUUUUCCCCCAUUCCUUUCCCGAUAAAAUAUGACGUGGCGUUCAUCAUUCAUAGGUUACCUCUCCAUCUAGAUAGUAAUUUGUUUUUGCGAGGGCA